GUGAUUGACAGCUGUGUUUACCUAUCAGAGAGUAGGGCUCUCUACUUAAGGGCUGAUUGGUUGACGCCUUGUGUGUGUCAUGUCUGAUCCCUCCCCCCGUGUCUGUUGACGGUCGUUACAGGUAAGCGUGCUAGCUCUUAGCAUAUGGCUAUUUUAAUGUGUUGUGUGUGAUUUUAAAAUGAAAUUUGAAUUCUAGUGUGUUGGUUCCGAUGUUGGUGCCAGUUAGCACUGUUAAAUGGCUUUUAAGAGUGCUAGCCUCUCAGGCUGACUCCCUGUAUGCCAGGGCACUGGUGGCUGCCAUGACAGCUGUAUGCCGGUGUCCGUAAGGUGUUGUGCCUGGUGUAAGAAGCGGAUUCUCCCUCUCGUUCCGGGCCGUGAUUAGUUCUGCCGCUUACCUCUUCGCGCUGUUUUAGCGCUGCUAAGUUUGCCUGCUGUGUGGAUGGGUUGCCAUUAUUAAAGGGUGCUGCUGGUGUCUGGUCAAUCUUUGUAAAAUCGCACCGUAGUGCUCCAAUUCAUAUACGUGUUGGGGACAUGAACAUUUCUGUUUUAAAGACUCAAUGAUGCUCUGUGAUUUUCCCCUUUCCAACCCAUUUAAAUAUUUUGUUUCUUUUGUGAAUUUAUUUUUUAUUUAUAAUUUGUUUGCUGCACGUGACUCCUCAUAUUUGUAAUGUGCCCUUGUGUGUGUGGUCUAGUGGCCCGAAUAAUACACUGUGACAGAGGGGAGUGGUAUGUGUAAUUAACCCUCCAAAUGUUUUCUGGUCUCUGCCGGUUGUGUAUCGUAUCAAUGGUCACUUUAAAGGAGUUGUGAGAAUGUGUAUGUAAGAAGUAGUAAACCAUCCAUUAAAUGUGUUUAUAAUUAUUUUUUUUUAGUGUCUUUAACCUUUAUUUUUGUUCAUCGCAGGAGCUGGGGUCCCACGGGUGACAGGAAUUUCUACAGUGGUGGUGGUGCUUCUCAUCGUGUGCUGUGUAACAUCUUGUGUGUUUCGUAGUGUGGUUUGAGUGCACUUUGGUGUGUGUGUGGUUGUGUGGAAGUGUGCUCUGCUCAAACUGAACUCUGUCCUUUGCCGUUGGGAGCCUCAGCCCUGCUGGUAACAUCCUUUUUCUUUAUUUGUUUUGAUUCUACUUUUGUUAUUAGUAUUGUCUUCCUCUUUCUUUUGAAGGAGUACUUGGUGUGUCUUAAUUGAGAGUUUUUAAAUAUUGUAUCAAUAAAAUUUUGUAACAUUUUGUAUGAUACCCACGUCUCCUGCCUACUUUAUUAUAAGGGACCGAACCUGUGUCCUUCACCCAUCAUUUUGGGGGUAAUUUGAGAUUUCCCCGGGUGCAAUUCCCGGGGUGGCGUAGUCGGAGUUCCUUAAAAUCUUAGGCUCAUGUUCUCUCUCUAGCACCGCUCUGCUACAAUCUGGCGUAGUCGGCAGGGUCCCUUUGUAGUGCAGAGGCGUGGGUAUUUUUUUUAUGCUUGCAUUUGUUCUGUUUUAUGUGUACAUUGUAGUGUUUGGAAACCAGGCACCAGAAAUCUCCCCUUAUGGUGGGUCUGCACGUUGAGGCGAGUAUGUAUUUUUAAUUUACGUCUACGGUUGGGUCAUUCCUAACUAUGCAAGUCAUGUGAAUGAAUGAUUUGGUAGUUUAAGGUAGACAAUGAAUUAUUUUUGGAACGAGAGGGAGGAUCUGCUAACAUGGGUUAAGUCGAGAGCCAACUGGAUUCUAUGGGUGGGUUUUGGGGAUGUCUGACGUGGCACAUCAUAGACGCCUUGAACUCAGGUGUUGUCAUUUGUUCUGCAUGAGUGAUGCAGUUCUGUUUUUGCCAUUAGGGUUCGGUCUUCCAGCCGGGUUGUUGGACCGCCUGCUGUAGGAAAGUUAGACCCCGGUACUGUCAGUUUACUGGAAGUCUGUGUUGAUAUGACCGAAGUAACACUAUGCUCCUAAUUCCUUGGUAGAUGGGGUCCCUCAGAGUCUGUGGUGGAACCAUCCAGUUAGAAUUAAAGUCCAGGAGAUGUUCCUGUGGCUAGUUACCUUGGGAUGGGUGGGAAAACGUUUUUAUUAUUCUCUUUGAGAGUGUAAGGAGGAUAAGGUAAAGUUAGGGCAUUGCUGGAGCAGCAUUUGCCUGUGACUGGUAUCUCUGAUGGGGGCAGGAUGUAUUGUAACCCUCAUGUCAUUUUCAGGUGGGGUCCCUCAGUACCUGGGGUGGAACCAUCUGGUUACAUUUAUAGUCCAGGAGAUGUUCCUGUGGCUAGUUACCUUGGGAUGGUUGGGAAACGUUUUUAUUAUUCUCUUUGAGAGUGUAAGGAGGAUAAGUUAAAGGUAGGGCAUUGCUGCAAUAGUAUUUGCCCGUGACUUUGAUUUUUAGGUGGGGUUGGGUACUAAUCGGUCCCAUGUUAUUUGUUGUUAGAUGGGGUCCCUCAGCAUCUGGGGUGAAACCAUCUGAUGAGUUUUAUAGGUAGGAGAGGUACCCCCCACACAGGUCAGUCAUUUUCAGAUGGGGUCCCUCAGUAUCUGGGGUGAAACCAUCUGAUUCAAUCCUUAGCACAUGAGAAGCUUGUGUGUUGUCAUUAGAAAGGGUACUGCAGGUCGGUACUUUAACCUACACCAUCUCCUACGAUUAGCAGGCACCGGUUCCGUGUCUAGCAUAGUGGGUAGUACAGUUGGUGCUCUGUUCUGUCCUUGGGACUAAAUUCUGAGGUAGGUUUUUAAUUGCAUCACCGUCGGGACGACGUCGCAGAAACUUGGGGUGGAAUGUAGUGGGAGAAGGUGAUUGACAGCUGUGUUUACCUAUCAGAGAGUAGGGCUCUCUACUUAAGGGCUGAUUGGUUGACGCCUUGUGUGUGUCAUGUCUGAUCCCUCCCCCCGUGUCUGUUGACGGUCGUUACAGGUAAGCGUGCUAGCUCUUAGCAUAUGGCUAUUUUAAUGUGUUGUGUGUGAUUUUAAAAUGAAAUUUGAAUUCUAGUGUGUUGGUUCCGAUGUUGGUGCCAGUUAGCACUGUUAAAUGGCUUUUAAGAGUGCUAGCCUCUCAGGCUGACUCCCUGUAUGCCAGGGCACUGGUGGCUGCCAUGACAGCUGUAUGCCGGUGUCCGUAAGGUGUUGUGCCUGGUGUAAGAAGCGGAUUCUCCCUCUCGUUCCGGGCCGUGAUUAGUUCUGCCGCUUACCUCUUCGCGCUGUUUUAGCGCUGCUAAGUUUGCCUGCUGUGUGGAUGGGUUGCCAUUAUUAAAGGGUGCUGCUGGUGUCUGGUCAAUCUUUGUAAAAUCGCACCGUAGUGCUCCAAUUCAUAUACGUGUUGGGGACAUGAACAUUUCUGUUUUAAAGACUCAAUGAUGCUCUGUGAUUUUCCCCUUUCCAACCCAUUUAAAUAUUUUGUUUCUUUUGUGAAUUUAUUUUUUAUUUAUAAUUUGUUUGCUGCACGUGACUCCUCAUAUUUGUAAUGUGCCCUUGUGUGUGUGGUCUAGUGGCCCGAAUAAUACACUGUGACAGAGGGGAGUGGUAUGUGUAAUUAACCCUCCAAAUGUUUUCUGGUCUCUGCCGGUUGUGUAUCGUAUCAAUGGUCACUUUAAAGGAGUUGUGAGAAUGUGUAUGUAAGAAGUAGUAAACCAUCCAUUAAAUGUGUUUAUAAUUAUUUUUUUUUAGUGUCUUUAACCUUUAUUUUUGUUCAUCGCAGGAGCUGGGGUCCCACGGGUGACAGGAAUUUCUACAGUGGUGGUGGUGCUUCUCAUCGUGUGCUGUGUAACAUCUUGUGUGUUUCGUAGUGUGGUUUGAGUGCACUUUGGUGUGUGUGUGGUUGUGUGGAAGUGUGCUCUGCUCAAACUGAACUCUGUCCUUUGCCGUUGGGAGCCUCAGCCCUGCUGGUAACAUCCUUUUUCUUUAUUUGUUUUGAUUCUACUUUUGUUAUUAGUAUUGUCUUCCUCUUUCUUUUGAAGGAGUACUUGGUGUGUCUUAAUUGAGAGUUUUUAAAUAUUGUAUCAA